UCCUCUGUAAAGCUCACCGCUCAUCACGGCGAUUGAAAUUUUAAACCUUGGUCUCAGGAGCGUCGUGCUCCACCUGGCUUAAAGACAGCAAGGGAUCAUCUCCUCUGAGACACAAGACCUUAGAAAGCCUUGGACAGAAGUGAGACCGGAGCUGGUGGCGUUAGGUCCGGCUGCGUGCUGCUCAAAAAUCAAUACGCAAGAGAGAGAGACAGAUGUUGGCAGAAAGGAAAGAUGCUUUUAGUCAGAAUGCCAGCCCUCUGGGGAGACGGUGGACUCAACGUCCCCCAGAAACCAUCUCCGAAGAUUCUGCUCGGCCAUGAAAGUUUUUAAAGGGAAACAGGGAAGUCAUCUCAGUUAGUCAUUGAGAUGGGGGGUCAGAGUGCUCUCCAUCCCCCAC